UACACUCCUACGGGAGGCAGCAGUGGGGAAUAUUGGACAAUGGGCGCAAGCCUGAUCCAGCCAUGCCGCGUGAGUGAUGAAGGCCCUAGGGUUGUAAAGCUCUUUCACCGGUGAAGAUAAUGACGGUAACCGGAGAAGAAGCCCCGGCUAACUUCGUGCCAGCAGCCGCGGUAAUACGAAGGGGGCUAGCGUUGUUCGGAUUUACUGGGCGUAAAGCGCACGUAGGCGGACUAUUAAGUCAGGGGUGAAAUCCCGGGGCUCAACCCCGGAACUGCCUUUGAUACUGGUAGUCUUGAGUUCGAGAGAGGUGAGUGGAAUUCCGAGUGUAGAGGUGAAAUUCGUAGAUAUUCGGAGGAACACCAGUGGCGAAGGCGGCUCACUGGCUCGAUACUGACGCUGAGGUGCGAAAGCGUGGGGAGCAAACAGGAUUAGAUACCCGAGUAGUCCCAUGA
rnacentral:rRNA from 1 species